AUUUAUAUAGUUUAAAUAAAACUUUACAUUUUCAAUGUAAAAAUAAAAUUUUUUUUAUUUUUAUAAAUA
rnacentral:tRNA from 1 species